rnacentral:rRNA from 1 species
UAGCAGUAGGGAAUCUUCCACAAUGGGCGCAAGCCUGAUGGAGCAACACCGCGUGAGUGAAGAAGGGUUUCGGCUCGUAAAGCUCUGUUGUUAAAGAAGAACACGUAUGAGAGUAACUGUUCAUACGUUGACGGUAUUUAACCAGAAAGUCACGGCUAACUACGUUGCCAGCAGCCGCGGUAAUACGUUAGGUUGGCAAGCGUUAUCCGGAUUUAUUGGGCGUAAAGAGAGUGCAGGCGGUUUUCUAAGUCUGAUGUGAAAGCCUUCGGCUUAACCGGAGAAGUGCAUCGGAAACUGGAUAACUUGAGUGCAGAAGAGGGUAGUGGAACUCCAUGUGUAGCGGUG